UAGGGAAUCUUCCGCAAUGGACGAAAGUCUGACGGAGCAACGCCGCGUGAGUGAUGAAGGUUUUCGGAUCGUAAAGCUCUGUUGCCAGGGAAGAACAACUAGGAGAGUAACUGCUCUUAGUGUGACGGUACCUGAGAAGAAAGCCCCGGCUAACUACGUGCCAGCAGCCGCGGUAAUACGUAGGGGGCAAGCGUUGUCCGGAAUUAUUGGGCGUAAAGCGCGCGCAGGCGGCUUUGUAAGUCUGGUGUUUAAGCUCGGGGCUCAACCCCGAUACGCAUCGGAAACUGUGAGGCUUGAGUGCAGAAGAGGAAAGUGGAAUUCCACGUGUAGCGGUGAAAUGCGUAGAGAUGUGGAGGAACACCAGUGGCGAAGGCGACUUUCUGGGCUGUAACUGACGCUGAGGCGCGAAAGCGUGGGGAGCAAACA
rnacentral:rRNA from 1 species